rnacentral:rRNA from 1 species
CCUACGGGAGGCAGCAGUGAGGAAUAUUGGUCAAUGGGCGUAAGCCUGAACCAGCCAAGUCGCGUGAGGGAUGAAGGUUCUAUGGAUCGUAAACCUCUUUUAUAAGGGAAUAAAGUGCGGGACGUGUCCCGUUUUGUAUGUACCUUAUGAAUAAGGAUCGGCUAACUCCGUGCCAGCAGCCGCGGUAAUACGGAGUAUCCGAGCGUUAUCCGGAUUUAUUGGGUUUAAAGGGCGCGUAGGCGGCCUUUUAAGUCUGCAGUGAAAGUCUGUGGCACAAGCAUGGAACUGCCGUGGAACCUGUAUAGCGUGAGUACUGGAGAGGCAGGCGGAAUGCGUAGUGUAGCGGUGAAAUGCGUAGAUAUUAGGAAGAACACCAGUGGCGAAGGCGGCCUGCUGAACAGAAACAGACGUGGAGGCUCGAAAGCGUGGGGAGCAAACAGGAUUAGAUACCCGAGUAGUC